CACGUAGGGGGCGAGCGUUAUCCGGAUUCAUUGGGCGUAAAGCGCGCGCAGGCGGCCGCCUAAGCGGGACCUCUAAUCUGGGGGCUCAACCCUCAGCCGGGUCCCGGACUGGGCGGCUCGGGUGCGGUAGGGGGAGGCGGAAUUCCCGGUGUAGCGGUGGAAUGCGCAGAUAUCGGGAAGAACACCGACGGCGAAGGCAGCCUCCUGGGCCGUCACCGACGCUGAGGCGCGAAAGCCGGGGGAGC
rnacentral:rRNA from 1 species